rnacentral:rRNA from 1 species
GGGUGAGUAACACGUGGGUGAUCUGCCCUGCACUUCGGGAUAAGCUUGGGAAACUGGGUCUAAUACCGGAUAGGAGCCAUCUUUAGUGUGGUGGUUGGAAAGUUUUUCGGUGUGGGAUGAGCUCGCGGCCUAUCAGCUUGUUGGUGGGGUAAUGGCCUACCAAGGCGGCGACGGGUAGCCGGCCUGAGAGGGUGUACGGCCACAUUGGGACUGAGAUACGGCCCAG